rnacentral:lncRNA from 1 species
CAGCCUUGGGUGGUAAGCGUUGUGUAUGCUCACACUUGUGCUUUCCAGAGGCAUAUUUUCUAAGAUGUGGUCUCUAAUACUACUUCUUUGUCCUUGCCGAUGCUCUUGUUAGGAGAUUUUAAUGUGAUUGCCGAUACUUCUGAGAAGAAAGAGAGUAAACCAUAUCAUCUAAAUAGAGGUAUUAAAGAAUUUUAAAAUUGCAUUUCAGAUAAUGGUUUGG